CUAUGGCAAAGUAUUCCAACAUCUCCAUUGCUUCAUCGGCACUCCAAUCCAUGUGGCUACCGUCUUUCCAUUUCCGGGUAACGAGUCCUUGUACCAAUACUGCAAAAGUGAUGACAGCAAAGAAAAGACCAAUCUUUCCAAUAAUAGUUGCCACUCCAUUUAGUUUAACCUGCAAUGGGGUUUCAUCAUCUCCCCCUUCACUUAGAGUGGCCAUAAGUUUACCCCAUUGAGUUCUCAUCCCAACAGUUGUGAUCAUCAUUUUGCAGGAACCAUCUUGAACUUUAGUUCCGGAAAGUAGGAAAGGAUGGUCAGCAGUCACCAUUACUGGCUCACUUUCACCAGUCAAACUGGACUCAUCAAUCAACACUGAGAAUCCUGAAACAAACAGGCCAUCUGCAGGGACUUGAUCUCCAAUGGCAAGAUGUACAAUAUCACCAGGAAGUAAGUCAUAGAUGGACAUUUUCUGCCUGAAACCAUUUCUAGUGACCUGAAUGCUUAUCUUCUUUUUCUCCUUAUCAAGAUCCUUGAAUUGUAAGGACUGACGGUAGUCGCUUGUUGCAGUUACAAACACAACCAACAUGAUACUAGCAACAAUUCCAAGACCAUCAUGGGCUCCCUUUGGCCAUCCUUCGGUAGCUAUCCCAACAAUC
rnacentral:lncRNA from 1 species